AUGCUAACCGCGGCUAGCAGCCUAAGCGACCGUCAACGAAUUUGACUGAUGCUUGAGCAAAAUCUCACGGCACGCCGCCGAUCAAAAUGUUGCAAUGAUGAUGGUCUCGUCUCGAUUGACUACCGAAUGUAGAAGACUUUUCUAUUUUCUGUUCUAUAAAUGGCAACGGAAGUAUAUACACGGGUUCAUAAUGGAGACCUUCUGCCCUCUAGUGGAAGAGCAUUGAAUUGAGAGGUUUCACAAUUGAUUAAUUGUUUCGUUUUAUAAUCGAUGAGAUGUGGAUCUAAUCGAUUAUAAAACGAAACAAUUUCGAUCAUCGUUUAAAGACGUCGUUUAAUGUAUAAUUGUGCAAAUGCUCGGGAUUUAAGCCUUUCAACAGCAAAUAUUUUCCGAUUUCUGAAGUCCUCCAUAGACGCAGACUUUUUUUUUUUUAAUAAAUAAAUAAGACAUUUGCAAACAUCUGCGUUUACUUUGGGAAAACAACAAUUAACAUUUUUGCCAAUUUUCGAAUGGAUGUUACGGACCAAACAAGUAACUGAAUCAAUUUAUGUUUGUGCAUUUGAAAUGUCCUGUCUAUGAGUAAAGAGAUGAUAAAUUUAAAUCCUAUUCAAGUAAUUGAAAAAAAAUAAUCGACAUAGUCAAAUCAUUGUAAGUUGCGGUUUUAAUUGAAUUGUUUUGCCUGUCACUAUGUAUCGCUGGCAUAGACAGAUGAACAAAGAUAAUUUAUAGUCGCUAGGUUUGGUAAGAAUUGAAGUGAAAUUGGAUCAUUUGUUACGGCACACUCAUGUCACAAACACACACGCAAAGCUGUAACGGCUUCUUUAUACUCGCGCUGACGUCACUGCGGCAGUUUGCCUUUAUACUCCAGCGCAAGCCACGCGCGCUGUUUUGAAAGUGUGCUGCAGUUCUCCUCCAAGUCGGGGGUGUCGCUACAGGUGGUAUUGGCUCGGACGCCACAGGGUGGAGUUUCCUCCGCAUGUUUUUGUGCCAUUUCCGGUAGCCGUUUUUACUUUCCUUUCAGUAACAAGGAACAAAGCAACAACAAUGGCAAUCGCGACAGAACAAAUGGACCCGGAUGACCAGAUGAUACGUGUAAUUAUGCUGCAAAAUCGAUCGAGAAGGCGGCGACGUAGAUGGCAACUCCUGAAGGAUCCUCAGGUUCUCUUCGCCGGGUACAAAGUUCCUCAUCCUCUGGAGCACAAGAUCGUCAUCAGGGUGCAGACCACGCCCGACUACAGUCCUCAGGAAGCGUUCACGAACGCCAUCACCGACCUGAUCAGCGAGCUCUCGCUGCUGGAGGAACGCUUCCGCGUGGCCAUCAAAGACAAACAGGAAGGCAUCGAGUGAUCGUGAUGUCACUUCCCCCUCGCCUUGUAAAUAAAGCUGUCCGACUUUUGUGACAAAGUCAAAUCAAAGGUUUUCCAAAUUAUGAAAUUGUUGAAUUUUGAGAAAAGGGGCUAAAGUGCUUCUUCGCGUCUGCACCUUGUUGCAUCCGUGCGGUAUCGAGGCUUUUGAUUGGGGUUCUCCCGUCCGACGUGAUCCAAAACUUCACGAGUGGUUCUCGGGGUGUGGGAUCCAUCGCAACCGGACUACAACGGCGCUUCAAAAAAGUACCGCCUCCAAAAAUAGAUUGCAAAGUACCACCAUAGACUUCAAUGCUUCAGUCUAGCGUGAUCCAAUCCAGUCCAGUUAUUUAUCGAGCGCUUUAACAACAACGCGGUUGCCCGAAGCGCUUUACUGCGUAAACUAAACAAAAAGACACAAACACAGUACUCAUGACUCAAAGUAAUUCAGCCUCGUGUCAGAAAUGUUUGCUUUUUGACAAGACCGGCCCGACGUGCUUCCGCAAAUCAAAGUAUGGGUUCAAGCAAACAGGUGCUCGCCGAUCGGAGGCAGAGUAGGGCGGGGCUUAGUAUUACAGAGACAACAAAUCCUGCCACAAUCUAAAUGGAUUACAGCAUUCAUUGAGAAAGGUGGAAAAAGAACUGGCGCCGUUGGGAAGCUCGGGCCAGAAAGUCAAGGAGCCCGGUUGGCGUGCGCUGAAAGGGGGGAGGAAGCGCUUCGGUUUGCGCUCUCGCUCUUCAGAGGUUACCGGGACGACCGUCUGCCACGGCGGCUUCCGUGACCCCCGCGUGUACGUCGCCAUAAAACGCCAAGUUUUCAUUUCAAAUUGCGCAGCCUCUGCUCGAUCUUUGUCUCCAAUCUUUUUGAAGCUAAAACGCCGUCAAUGAAAUGUAUCACAACACCACGCUCGCCAAAAGUUAGACCGCGUUGGUCCGAAACGCUCAAAAAUAAGUUGCCAAUUUGCAUGCGACCGAGCCGCUCGGAGGGCUUUCAAAACAGCCGCCCGCCCCGCGUGGCGCUCAUCCUCGCGGGAUUCCAAACAGAAAGCAUUUGAAAAUCCGAGCGGCGCACCACACAGAGACAGGCGCUCAUCCGCAGCACACCGUUUUAUUUCUGUCAUAUUUUUCCUUCCCGAAACACGGAAAUGCGAAUCGGUCGCGGCUUCAGAGUUCCAUGCCCCUCUGAGCCGCCAUCAGCCUCUGCAUCUUCUCCACCAUCCACGCGGGCACCGAGAACGGCUUCAUCUCGUCCAGCUUCAUGUCCGGGCAGUCCCUGCGUGCACGCGCAGCGUGAGGCGUGGCCACGCCGCCGUGGCGGCGGCACUCACCUGUACUCGUCACCGCGCGCCAGAUCCUGGACGUCCUCCUCGAUCAGCAGGUCAGGAUCAGGAAAGGACCAGGAUGAACGUGGUAAUCAGGAUCUGGGUUUCUGGCAAGAAAGUGUGACAGGACACCAAAGUACCUUUUUGGGGACUGGACUUCCUCUCUGGCUGCAGCCGUCUUCGGAACCUCGGGAACGCUGACAAUAGAACCGACAAGCGGAAUUGGACUUGAAGACCACGUGCAUCAUCAAGCAUGGCUAUCGUUAAGAUUUUAACGAUACUACAACGCUUAACGAUACUGCUUAUCCAGCUCGUACUUAUUUGUACUUUUAAAUUAUUUACUCUUUUUAAACAUCAGGAUUAACAUCGCUUCACUUUUUUUAAUAAAUGAACUCGUCUUGCAAAUCUGUCAAAUAUAAUAGUAACUUGGUAGGCUGCGUGUCGGUGGAAGGUGUUUUUCGUGGGUCUCGCUUGCAGACCUGAAAGAGCAACUGGCAGGUCUGGUGAAAAAGUUUCCUUUCUCCAUAUAAACGUGCGGCUCUUUUGCCAACUGUUUCUCAGGUCGCUUGCGUUCCCCC